CUGACAUGUUUUUAUGAUGAUCUCAGUAUGGAAGUUGGUCUCUUUAUCUCUUUGUUUGAAUUAAUUGACUCUUUUUGGGAAUGUCAAAGUUUUUCUUAUCUGAGUGGCUGCUCAUUUACCCGAGGUUAUUUAUUUUAUACCUGGCAUUUUACUAAUGAUGUGCAAUUUUAUUUCCAGACAUUCUGCUGUCUUCCAGCUUACAUAAUUCGGGUGGAGAUGAAAAUUCUGGGCUGUCCCAGUCAACUUCCAAUCCUAAACCAGACGUUCCUCCUGAAAAUCAUAACUUCGGACGACAAAUUCAGAUUACCCCAGCAACAAAUGCCCUGGAGGAUCAUCCGGGUAGUGGAUCCGGGGAUAGCGUUAAAACCAUCACAGCCGACAACUUGCUCAAAAAAGAGGUAUGUUUUUUAAUGUUCAAACUCCUUACACUCACUCUCCUCAAUUCAGGUUUCCCCAUAAGUAUAGGAUAUUAUUCCUAGACGCUUUAUUUUUGUUUGUGAGACUAUGAUUGAUAAAAGAAAUAAAACAACUAGUUCUUCCAGUUUUUUCCAAAAAAAAAGUAAUAGAGGUCUGAACUAAAAUUUAAUUUUGAAAAAUGGUUAUCUCCUUGCAAAUAGAUAAAGGAGAGGUUGUAUUUCUAAAAUUUGGAUGAAUAAGGUUUAUGCAAUCAUACUCAGCAAUUUUUUUUUAUAUAUAUAUGUUUGAUUAUUAUACGACACCUUUUCAAACCGUGAGUGAAUUGCUCUGUUACCAGGCACCUUCGUGGCAUGAAACCAAAUCGUCCAUUGAAUAUCUUGCGAGGCGCAAACGAAAGCGAAGGAACUCUGAAGAAUGGAGUGACAGGGAUGUGUUUGCCACCUCUGUGCAAAAUUCAGAUGCUGACCAAAAUGGGGUCCUGAUGCAAGUGAGAGGGCCUUCAUUUAAUGAAACCAUCGGUCUGGACUAUUGUAAUGUGGUCAGUCCUGAAUAUAACCUUUGUCUGGGAAGAUCAGCGACAAACCUGAGCUAUGCAAUUCCUCUCAGUAAAUACCUUGCUGAUCCUGUCAUCUCGGUUGUCUUCAAAUUUACGAAAGAUUUCCAAGGAGAGGAAACAGUGCGCUUUUGUCCGGUGCCAGGAGGACGGCAAGAGUGUCCUGUGAGCAGACCAGAACACCUAUAUAACUCUUCCCAGGCUGAUAAGCUGGUCGAACAAGAUGCAAGCGGUCAGAUCUUCAACAUAGAUAUCUCGAGUUCCCUCUUCGCAACUUUUAGAUACAGGAUUCCGAGGAUACAAACAAAUCAUAAUGUGUGCAACAUACCUGGCAAUAAGCUAGGAGCUUCUUUCCUGGAGUAUAACAUCUAUUUCUAUCGAGACUGUGAAGGUUGAACCUCUUCCAAU
rnacentral:lncRNA from 1 species